GGACUACCGGGGUAUCUAAUCCUGUUCGCUCCCCACGCUUUCGCGUCUCAGCGUCAGUCACGUACCAGAGAGCCGCCUUCGCCACGGGUGUUCUUCCUGAUAUCUGCGCAUUUCACCGCUACACCAGGAAUUCCACUCUCCUCUUCCGGACUCUAGCUAGAUGGUUUCCACCGGCGUCUCGAGGUUGAGCCUCGAGUUUUCACAACGGACCUACCUAGCCGCCUACACGCUCUUUACGCCCAAUAAAUCCGGACAACGCUUGCCCCCUACGUAUUACCGCGGCUGCUGGCAC
rnacentral:rRNA from 1 species